CCUACGGGUGGCUGCAGUGAGGAAUAUUGGUCAAUGGCCGGAAGGCUGAACCAGCCAAGCCGCGUGAAGGACGAAGGUGCCAAGCAUUGUAAACUUCUUUUGUCAAGGGACAAAAUCAGGCUCGAGAGCCUGACCGAGGGUACUUGAAGAAAAAGCAUCGGCUAACUCCGUGCCAGCAGCCGCGGUAAUACGGAGGAGGCGAGCGUUAUCCGGAUUUAUUGGGUUUAAAGGUUGCUUAGGCGGACUGUUAAUUCAGCGGUAAAAGCCCGGGGCUCAAGCCCGGCGAGCCGUUGAAACUGGCUGGCUUGAGAUGUCGAGCGGUAUGAGGAAUGCGCAGUGUAGCGGUGAAAUGCUUAGAUAUUGCGCAGAACUCCGAUUGCGAAGGCAGCAUACCGGCGGCGAUCUGACGCUGAGGCACGAAGGUGCGGGUAUCAAACAGGAUUAGAUACCCGAGUAGUC
rnacentral:rRNA from 1 species